AACGUACCAAACAUAUCGAGGUGGACUGCCAUUUUGUUCGGGACUUGCUGCAAUCUGGUUUUCUCAAGCUGCUUCAUGUUCCUACCUCUCGUCAGCUGCCGACCUGCUCACUAAGCCACUGCCUGGCACUAUGCUUCUUCUGCUGCUCACCAAGUUGCAGGUGGUUUCCCCCUCCAACUUGAGGGGGGGUGUUGAUAUGAAGGAGAUUACAUGAUUAUAUACACUGUAUAUACACUGUAUAUUUAUUGUUUCAUCUGGUAUACAAUGUAUGGGCUGUGAUGAUUAUUUGUUGUUGGGCCAACUGUAUGUACCGAGCCCAAUAUAUGUCUGAGCCCC
rnacentral:lncRNA from 1 species